UACGUAGGGUGCAAGCGUUGUCCGGAAUUAUUGGGCGUAAAGAGCUCGUAGGCGGUUUGUCGCGUCGGCUGUGAAAUCCCGAGGCUCAACCUCGGGCCUGCAGUCGAUACGGGCAAACUAGAGUGUGGUAGGGGAGACUGGAAUUCCUGGUGUAGCGGUGAAAUGCGCAGAUAUCAGGAGGAACACCGGUGGUGUAAACGGCUUUCUGGACCAUAACUGACGCUGAGGCACGAAAGCGUGGGUAGCAAACAGG
rnacentral:rRNA from 1 species